CGUCUUGCCAAAAUCAGUGAUCAGUCGCCACUGACUGGAACGAAACACGGAUCUGUUUUGCGGUCAGCCAGUGAUGACCACCUGUAUUGCUCCCUGUCUGGAUUGUCUCCACAUGUAACAAUCUCUACAGCCCAUGGAGAGACAUUGUGCCUCUCGGAUGAUACUGUUGAAGAUGCCGACAUUGGGUUACUGGAUGACAUGGCUAUUCUCCAGAUGCAGAAGUUGAUGAAACUGAUGGACUACCUUUACAACAAAGUCAAAGCGAAUCAGCAAUGAUACCAAGACAUCUAACGUUGAUCCACUAAUGCCACCUAUGCAUGUUUUACGUUCAAAUUAAAAGUUGUGAUUCAAUAAAUUGUAUUUGUAUA